GCCGGCAGACCGCGUCCGCACCCGGUGCAUCUCACACACACACACAGUCGCUUGAUGACAGACGGGGAGGGGGAAGCGGAGAGAAGUAAGCCCCGGAUCAAUCUUCAAGAGAGAAAAUAGGAAAGAAAGACCGCGUCCCACUUUUAUUUCGUUUUUAGCGGCACCUUUCUGACUCAUAGACGUUAGGGAGCCCGAGGAGGGGCUGUGUCACUGUCUGUAGGAUGUCCCGACAUGAAGGUGUGAGCUGUGAUGCGUGUUUAAAAGGGAACUUCAGAGGACGCCGAUACAAGUGUUUAAUUUGCUACGACUACGACCUUUGUGCAUCUUGCUACGAAAGUGGAGCCACAACAACUAGACACACCACGGAGCACCCAAUGCAGUGCAUACUAACCAGGGUAGACUUUGACUUGUAUUAUGGGGGGGAGGCAUUCUCAGUAGAGCAGCCUCAGUCGUUUACUUGUCCUUACUGUGGUAAAAUGGGCUACACGGAAACAUCUCUACAGGAGCACGUGACCUCAGAACACGCAGAGACCUCUACAGAGGUGAUUUGCCCAAUCUGUGCAGCUUUGCCUGGUGGCGACCCCAAUCAUGUGACAGAUGACUUUGCUGCUCAUCUCACACUUGAACACAGAGCACCUAGAGAUUUAGACGAGAGCAGCGGCGUGCGACACGUGCGUCGGAUGUUCCACCCUGGGCGUGGACUGGGCGGCCCGCGGGCACGCCGGACUAACAUGCACUUUACCAGCAGCUCCACUGGUGGCCUCUCCUCUUCACAAAGCUCCUCCUACUCUCCAAGCAAUAGGGAAGCCAUGGACCCCAUAGCAGAGUUGCUCUCUCAGCUGUCGGGUGUGCGGCGCUCCGCAGGAGGACAGCUCAACUCUUCUGGCCCCUCGGCCUCGCAGCUGCAGCAACUGCAAAUGCAGCUUCAGCUGGAGCGCCAGCAGGCACAGGCGGCGCGCCAGCAGCUGGAGACGGCCCGUAACGCUACACGCCAACGCAGCAACCCUAGCAACAUCAGCGCCAACAUCCCGCCGCCCAGCACCACCACAAACACAGCCAUGUCUGAGAGCAACACGCUGGCCUCCCACAGCUCCCAGUUUCUUCUCACACGGUUGAACGAGCCGAAAAUGUCAGAGGCAGAACGGCAGGCGCUGGAGAGCGAGCGCGCGGACCGCAGCCUGUUCGUGCAGGAGCUGCUGCUGUCCACACUAAUGCGAGAAGAGAGCUCGUCUUCCGACGAGGACGAAAGGCGAGACUUUGCUGACUUCGGCGCCAUGGGCUGUGUGGACAUCAUGCCUUUAGACGUGGCUCUGGAGAGCCUCAACCUGAAGGAGAGCUCCACAGGCAAGGAGCCUCCACCACCUCCUCUUUGAUGAUAUCCCACCACAACGCAGACAAUGUCCUCUGUGCUGUAACUGCCAAUGACGGUGAGCGUAGGUAUCUGUGGCAGACCUCUGCUUCUUGUGUCUUGCAAAAGGCUCUCCUUAUAAAUACUCCACAUUCAAAAACUGAAGAGGAAACAAAGAGACCUUCUCUAAUGAAGCUGCUGUGUGUAUUUAUGAAUAUUAAUGAAUAAAAAGUGCUUGGAUGGUUUACCAUAACUACUGCAUGAGGUUAUUUGCAGCGUGCAUGAUUUUUAAUGACCUUGUCAUUAAAAAAGCAAAAUAUCCCAAAGCUUUAACUUUUUUUUUUUCCCAGGGUUACUUGAACACAGCCCACUUGAAAUGGGCGAAAUAUCUACAAGUUUAGGAUUUUUUUGUUUGUUUGUUUAAUAUGGAAAUCAACAGCAAAAUUGGAACCUGCAGUAGCGUCGCAAGAAAAACUGUUAAAAGCUUUUGUCACUCGGCUCCAAUCUGCCCCUUCGUCUGUGUCACAUCAGAGCACAACAGUGACCGCCCACUUUAUCAGCGACAGUGUUUUUCCCAUCCACUUUCUCCAUAAGGAUAAAAAAAAUUAAGCCAAAAACUAAACUGACCAGUUCCAAGAUAAAUCACAACGUACCAUACACAGUAAUUAGGUAUGAAAAAAAAUGAAGGUACAAGAUCGCAUACUUAGAUUCAUUGAUGGUUUGAACUACUCAACCCAUCAAAGCAUUGUGAAUGACAAUCGAAUAAAAACAUGACG